rnacentral:rRNA from 1 species
CCUACGGGGGGCUGCAGUGAGGAAUAUUGGUCAAUGGGCGCGAGCCUGAACCAGCCAAGUAGCGUGAAGGAUGACUGCCCUACGGGUUGUAAACUUCUUUUAUAAAGGACUAAUGUGAGACACGUGUGCCUUUUUGUAUGUACUUUAUGAAUUAGGAUCGGCUAACUCAGUGCCAGCCGCCGCGGUAAUACGGAGGUUCCGAGCGUUAUCCGGAUUUAUUGGGUUUAAGGGGAGCGUAGGUGGGUUGUUAAGUCAGUUGUGAAAGUUUGCGGCUCAACCGUGAAAUUGCAAUUGAUACUGGCAGUCUUGAGUGCAGGUGAGGUAGGCGGAAUUCGUGGUGUAGCGGUGAAAUGCGUAGAUAUUACGAAGAACACCGAUGGCGAAGGCAACUUACUAAACUGCCACUGACAUUGAUGCUCGAAAGUGUGGGUAGCGAACAGGAUUAGAUACCCGAGUAGUC